rnacentral:ncRNA from 1 species
GGGUUUUCUCAUUUCUUCAUCUUCCAUAGCUCAUCUGAGCUUCGAUCUAACAAAGUACGGUAGGGGCAGAGAGAAUUUCCGAUGAAGCGAUGAAAUGCGUAGAGAUCGAAAAGAACACCAAUGUCAAAAGCAUUCUGUUGGGGUGACACUAAUACUGAGAGCCGAAAACUAGGGAAGCAAAUGGAUUAGAUACCUCAGUAGUCCUAGCUGUAAACGAUGAAUACUAGGCGCCGUGCAUAUCGACUCGUACAGUGUUGUAGCUAACGCGCUAAAUAUC